CCUACGGGCGGCAGCAGUGGGGGAUAUUGCACAAUGGGGGAAACCCUGAUCCAGCAACGCCGCGUGAGUGAAGAAGGUCUUCGGAUUGUAAAGCUCUGUUCUUGAUGAAGAUAAUGACGGUAGCCAAGGAGAAAGCUCCGGCUAACUACGUGCCAGCAGCCGCGGUACUACGUAGGGAGCGAGCGUUGUCCGGAUUUACUGGGUGUAACGGGUGCGCAGGCGGCUCUGCAAGUCAGGCGUGAAAGCUAGGGGCUCAAACCAUAAAUUGCGCUUGAAACUGGGGGGCUUGAGUGAGGUAGAGGCAGGCGGAAUUCCAGGUGUAGCGGUGAAAGGCGUAGAGAUCGGGAGGAACACCAGUGGCGAAGGCGGCCUGCUGGGCUGUAACUGACGCUCAGGCACGAAAGCAUGGGUAGCAAACAGGAUUAGAUACCCGAGUAGUC
rnacentral:rRNA from 1 species